GUGCCAAUGAGUCUGAGAGCAGUGGCCCUCUUCCAUUGUUAUUCAACAAUUUUGAGAUCCAUUGGCACUAUUGGUCAUGGCCCAGCCAACAACUUCAAAAGGUUUGAAAGGAAAAUUCCUAAUGAGAUGCACAGAAUGCCAGGAAUGUGUUCAUGUGCGGUCUACAAAAUGCCAGAGAUGUGGGUACAACUUUAAAACUCGUCGGAUGGAAAG